GACCCGAGCCGUGCCGGAGCUAACGCGUUAAGUAUCCCGCCUGGGGAGUACGCACGCAAGUGUGAAACUCAAAGGAAUUGACGGGGGCCCGCACAAGCGGUGGAGUAUGUGGUUUAAUUCGAUGCAACGCGAAGAACCUUACCAAGACUUGACAUCCUGCGAAUUCCGGUGAAAGCUGGGAGUGCCUUAGGGAGCGCAGAGACAGGUGGUGCAUGGCUGUCGUCAGCUCGUGUCGUGAGAUGUUGGGUUAAGUCCCGCAACGAGCGCAACCCUCGUUUUUAGUUGCCAGCAUUAAGUUGGGCACUCUAGAGAGACUGCCGGUGACAAAC
rnacentral:rRNA from 2 species